rnacentral:tRNA from 1 species
GCGGUUGUGGCGGAAUUGGCAGACGCGCUAGAUUCAGGGUCUAGUGGGCAUUGCGCUCGUGGGGGUUCAAGUCCCUUCAACCGCACCA